UUCUAUAGCCAUGCUACCGUGAACAAGCCAGAUUCCGUCUGAUCUUGGAAGCUAAGCAGGGUCAGGUCUGGUUAGUACUUGGAUGGGAGACCACCUAGGAAGACUAGGUGCUGUAGGCU
rnacentral:rRNA from 1 species